CUACGGGCCGCACCAGUCGAGGAUCUUUUGCAAUGCCCGAAAGGGUGACAAUGCGACGCCGCGUGUGCGAUGAAGGUUUUCGGAUCGUAAAGCACUGUCGACCGGGAUGAAUCUCAGGAGGCUGAAUAAGCCUUCAGGGUGACAGUACCGGUAGAGGAAGCCACGGCUAACUCCGUGCCAGCAGCCGCGGUAAUACGAGGUGGCAAGCGUUACUCGGAUUGGUUGGGUGUAAAGGGCAUGUAGGUGGUGAAUUAAGGCGAACGUGAAAUCCCUUGGCUUAACCAAGGAACUGCGUUCGAAACUGAUUUGCUUGAGCGAUGGAGAGGAAAGGGGAAUUCCCGGUGUAACAGUGAAAUGUGUAGAUAUCGGGAGGAACACCAGUGGCGAAGGCGCCUUUCUGGACAUCUGCUGACACUGAAAUGCGAGAGCUAGGGGAGCAAACAGGAUUAGAUACCCCCGUAGUC
rnacentral:rRNA from 1 species